GUGAACGUUACAAACUGUUGCCUCGGCGGGGUCACGCCCCGGGUGCGUCGCAGCCCCGGAACCAGGCGCCCGCCGGAGGAACCAACCAAACUCUUUCUGUAGUCCCCUCGCGGACGUAUUUCUUACAGCUCUGAGCAAAAAUUCAAAAUGAAUCAAAACUUUCAACAACGGAUCUCUUGGUUCUGGCAUCGAUGAAGAACGCAGCGAAAUGCGAUAAGUAAUGUGAAUUGCAGAAUUCAGUGAAUCAUCGAAUCUUUGAACGCACAUUGCGCCCGCCAGUAUUCUGGCGGGCAUGCCUGUCCGAGCGUCAUUUCAACCCUCGAACCCCUCCGGGGGAUCGGCGUUGGGGAUCGGGACCCCUCACACGGGUGCCGGCCCCGAAAUACAGUGGCGGUCUCGCCGCAGCCUCUCCUGCGCAGUAGUUUGCACAACUCGCACCGGGAGCGCGGCGCGUCCACGUCCGUAAAACACCCAACUUUCUGAAAUGUUGACCUCGGAUCAGGUAGGAAUACCCGCUGAACUUAAGCAUAUCAAUAAGCGGAG
rnacentral:rRNA from 1 species